rnacentral:rRNA from 1 species
UACGUAGGGGGCAAGCGUUGUCCGGAAUCAUUGGGCGUAAAGAGCUCGUAGGCGGCUCGUUGCGUCAACCGUGAAAACCCGGGGCUUAACUUCGGGCUUGCGGUUGAUACGGGCGGGCUGGAGUUCGGUAGGGGAGACUGGAAUUCCUGGUGUAGCGGUGAAAUGCGCAGAUAUCAGGAGGAACACCGGUGGCGAAGGCGGGUCUCUGGGCCGAUACUGACGCUGAGGAGCGAAAGCGUGGGGAGCGAACAGG